rnacentral:rRNA from 1 species
GACGAACGCUGGCGGCGUGCUUAACACAUGCAAGUCGAACGGAAAGGCCCUGCUUGCAGGGUACUCGAGUGGCGAACGGGUGAGUAACACGUGGGUGAUCUGCCCUGCACUUCUGGAUAAGCCUGGGAAACUGGGUCUAAUACUGGAUAGGAGCCAUUUUUAGUGUGAUGGUUGGAAAGUUUUUUCGGUGUAGGAUGAGCUCGCGGCCUAUCAGCUUGUUGUUGGGGUAAUGGCCUACCAAGGCGGCGACGGGUAGCCGGCCUGGGAGGGUGGACGGCCACAUUGGGACUGAGAUACGGCCCAGACUCCUACGGGAGGCAGCAGUGGGGAAUAUUGCACAAGGGGCGCAAGCCUGAUGCAGCGACGCCGCGGGGGGGAUGACGGCCUUCGGGUUGUAAACUCCUUUCGCUAGGGACGAAGCUUUUUGUGACGGUACCUAGAUAAGAAGCACCGGCUAACUACGUG